AGGAAUGCUAUAACAAAGUCA
rnacentral:miRNA from 1 species